rnacentral:SRP_RNA from 1 species
UAAUGCUCUUAGGGCAAUGUUCUGUUUAUGAAGCGUGUCAGAUCCGGAAGGAAGCAGCACUAAGUAAAAAGAGCAUGUGCUCUUUUUUAUUAUACUAA